rnacentral:rRNA from 1 species
AUUGAACGCUGGCGGCGUGCCUAACACAUGCAAGUCGAGCGAUGAAGCCCUUCGGGGUGGAUUAGCGGCGGACGGGUGAGUAACACGUGGGUAACCUGCCUCAAAGUGGGGGAUAGCCUUCCGAAAGGAAGAUUAAUACCGCAUAAAAUGCUUUAAUCGCAUGGUUGAAGCAUCAAACGAGUAAUCGGCUUUGAGAUGGACCCGCGGCGCAUUAGCUAGUUGGUGAGGUAACGGCUCACCAAGGCGACGAUGCGUAGCCGACCUGAGAGGGUGAUCGGCCACAUUGGAACUGAGACACGGUCCAGACUCCUACGGGAGGCAGCAGUGGGGAAUAUUGCGCAAUGGAGGAAACUCUGACGCAGCAACGCCGCGUGAAUGAUGAAGGCCUUAGGGUUGUAAAGUUCUGUCUUCUGGGACGAUAAUGACGGUACCAGAGGAGGAAGCCACGGCUAACUACGUGCCAGCCGCCGCCGUAA